UACGUAGGGUGCGAGCGUUAAUCGGAAUUACUGGGCGUAAAGCGUGCGCAGGCGGUUUUGUAAGCCAGAUGUGAAAUCCCCGGGCUCAACCUGGGAAUUGCGAUGAAGACUGCAAGGCUAGAAUCUGGCAGAGGGGGGUAGAAUUCCACGUGUAGCAGUGAAAUGCGUAGAGAAGUGGAGGAACACCGAUGGCGAAGGCAGCCCCCUGGGUCAAGAUUGACGCUCAUGCACGAAAGCGUGGGGAGCAAACAGG
rnacentral:rRNA from 1 species